rnacentral:rRNA from 1 species
UAGUCCACGCCGUAAACGAUGAUCACUCGAUGUUGGCGAUAUAAUGUCAGCGUCCAAGCGAAAGUGUUAAGUGAUCCACCUGGGGAGUACGAUCGCAAGGUUGAAACUCAAAGGAAUUGACGGGGGCCCGCACAAGCGGUGGAGCAUGUGGUUUAAUUCGAUGAUACGCGAGGAACCUUACCAAGGCUUAAAUGUAUAACGACCGCUCGGGAAACUGAGCUUUCUUCGGACGGAAUACAAGGUGCUGCAUGGUUGUCGUCAGCUCGUGCCGUGAGGUGUCGGGUUAAGUCCCAUAACGAGCGCAACCCCUAUUCUUAGUUGCCAUCAGGUUAAGCUGGGGACUCUAAGAAAACUGCCCGUGCAAACGGUGAGGAAGGUGGGGAUGACGUCAAAUCAUCACGGCCCUUACGUCUUGGGCUACACACGUGCUACAAUGGUUGGUACAAAGGGUCGCUACCUGGUGACAGGAUGCUAAUCUCUAAAGCCAAUCUCAGUUCGGA